AUUGAACGCUGGCGGCAGGCCUAACACAUGCAAGUCGAACGCAGUGGGGACGGGUGAGUAACACGUGGGUAACCUCCCAUCAGAGGGGAUAACACUUGGAAACAGGUGCUAAACCGAUACUGAUGGAUGGACCCGCGGUGCAUUAGCUAGUUGGUGGGGUAACGGCACACCAAGGCCAAGAUGCAUAGCCGGCCGGGGAGGGUGAUCGGCCACACUGGAACUGAGAAACGGCCCAGCUGCCUACGGGAGGAGGCAGUAGGGAAUCUUCGGCAAGGGAGGAAAGUCUGACCGAGAAACGCCGCGGGAGUGAAGAAGGUUUUCGGAUCGUAAAACUCUGUUGUUAGAGAAGCGGUAUCUAACCAGAAAGCCACGGCUAACUACGUGCCAGCAGCCGCGGUAAUAC
rnacentral:rRNA from 1 species